rnacentral:rRNA from 1 species
GGGUGUCGACUCCCUCCGUGUCGUAGCUAACGCGUUAAGUGACCCGCCUGGGGAGUACGGCCGCAAGGCUAAAACUCAAAGGAAUUGACGGAGACCCGCACAAGCAGCGGAGCAUGUGGAUUAAUUCGACGUAACGCGAAGAACCUUACCUGGGCUUGACAUACUGCUGACCGGCAUGGAAACAUGCCUUUCCUUCGGGACAGCAAUANCAGGUGGUGCAUGGCUGUCGUCAGCUCGUGUCGUGAGAUGUUGGGUUGAGUCCCGCAACGAGCGCAACCCCCGUCCUAUGUUGCCAGCAUUCAGUUGGGGACUCAUAGGAGACUGCCGGUGACAAACCGGAGGAAGGUGGGGAUGACGUCAAGUCAUCAUGCCCCUUAUGUNCCAGGGCUUCACACGUGCUACAUUGGCGCAUANCAGAGGGCUGCGAUANCCGCGAGGUGGAGCGAAUCCCAAAAAGUGCGUCUCGGUUCGGAUUGAAGGCUGAAACUCGCCUUCAUGAAGGCGGAGUUGCUAGUAAUCCCAGAUCAGCAAUGCUGGGGUGAAUACGUUCCCGGG